GGCUCUGCCGUCCUGCUCCACACACUGACUCCUGUGACUUUCGGCAGCGCCCGGCCUCUUCCAUCCCCAGUGAGUACGUAGCGGCUCUAAACAACUGAAGAAAUGGCUGUCGUGAGUGGAACGUUCCGUAUGGUAUCAGAGGAGGAGCAGGCUCUCAGGGCCAAGCUGGAGCGCCUCACGGUCAAGGACCACGGUCCCGUGUUCGGACUCUGCGCCAAGUUGCCUGACCACACAGUGCAGA